rnacentral:lncRNA from 1 species
AGCAGUACGCCGGCUGGGCAUGUGGACUGGAUAAACAUUAUGAGACGAAGGGACUAACAUGAAUAGAUGCAUAUCAGUGACAAUGUAGCACAACUAGUUUAACAAGGGAAUGCAAAAAGAUCUUCAACAACUUGGCAAGUUGGCAUUAGUAGGUAAGUAAUGCUCAAAAUGCAAUAUAAACUUCUUUCCUCUUCUCAAGCUUAAUGAAGGGCAAUUCCAUAAAGAGAUGCUCAAAAUGGC